AUAAAUUAAGAAAAAUUCUAGUUUGUUUUGAAAACAAAUUUUAUCAUAUAAUAAUUAUGAAAUUUAUU
rnacentral:tRNA from 1 species